rnacentral:lncRNA from 1 species
AUUGCACUGGUACCUAACAGUAUCAAAUCUAGGCCAUACACGUGUUUAGAUCGGACGGACAGGAGAGGGGCGGUACCGAUCGGUACUAGUGUUUUGCGGAGGUGGCACCGCAACUUAUCUGCCUCUCACAGGGGUAAAUUUUUCUUUUCACACUGGGAUUGAUGGAUCGAUCCCCUCGUCCAAUCUCUCGCAUACUCAUCUUCUUCUGUUCUCUCUCCACUACCAGCAUCGACGGCUUGGGCGAUGGGGAGCCAGCCGCGGCACGGCAGUGGCGGCUGCGGAGGAGGAAACCGCGGCAGGG